rnacentral:rRNA from 1 species
UACGUAGGGUGCAAGCGUUACUCGGAAUUACUGGGCGUAAAGCGUGCGUAGGCGGUUUGUUAAGUCUGUUGUGAAAGCCGCGGGCUCAACCUGGGAAUGGCAAUGGAUACUGGCAGGCUAGAGUGCGGUAGAGGGUAGUGGAAUUCCCGGUGUAGCGGUGAAAUGCGUAGAGAUCGGGAGGAACACCAGUGGCGAAGGCGGCUACCUGGACCAGCACUGACACUGAGGCACGAAAGCGUGGGGAGCAAACAGG